rnacentral:rRNA from 1 species
UACGUAGGGUGCGAGCGUUGUCCGGAAUUAUUGGGCGUAAAGGGCUCGUAGGCGGUUUGUCGCGUCGGGAGUGAAAACCUCGGGCUUAACUCGGGGCUUGCUUUCGAUACGGGCAGACUGGAGGUAUGCAGGGGAGAACGGAAUUCCUGGUGUAGCGGUGAAAUGCGCAGAUAUCAGGAGGAACACCGGUGGCGAAGGCGGUUCUCUGGGCAUGACCUGACGCUGAGGAGCGAAAGCGUGGGGAGCGAACAGG